rnacentral:rRNA from 1 species
UACGUAGGGUGCAAGCGUUGUCCGGAAUUAUUGGGCGUAAAGAGCUCGUGGGCGGUCUGUCACGUCGGCUGUGAAAUCCCGAGGCUCAACCUCGGGUCUGCAGUCGAUACGGGCAAACUAGAGUAUUGCAGGGGAGACUGGAAUUCCUGGUGUAGCGGUGAAAUGCGCAGAUAUCAGGAGGAACACCGGUGGCGAAGGCGGGUCUCUGGGCAAUAACUGACGCUGAGGUGCGAAAGCGUGGGGGAGCAAACAGG